GUGCUUGUUUCAGCAGCACAUAAACUAAAAUUGGAAUGAUACAGAGAAUAAUAGCCAUGGCUUCUGCACAAGGAUGCUAUCCUCUCUGAUGAUGAUAUGCCUCUCUGA